rnacentral:lncRNA from 1 species
UUAAUGGUUCAUUAACUAAAGAAUUAUAUAGUAUGUUAAAUGAAAAUUGUAUUGAUAAAAUAAAAAAAAAAGAAACAAAUGAAUAUAAAAAUAAACAAAAAACAGAAAAUAAUUUAAAUAUUGAAUUUUAUAGUAAUAACAAUCACGAUUUUGGUUCUAAAUAUAAUUAUAAGGAUGUUUUAAAUCUUUUAAAACAUCAGAGAGAACCACAUUAUUCAUUAAACGAAACAAUCAUAAAUGAAACAAUAUGUAUUUUAGAAAAGUGUGAUCUUAAAAAAAGAGGUUAUUAGUAGUAAAUCUCAUUCAACAGAUGAAACAUUAAAUAUGAAUAAAAACAAUUCCUCAAAUUUUAAUGUUGAUUCAUCUGAUACAAAUUGUAUGAAAAAAUUACUAUCUGAAACAUUUAACACAACUUUGAAUGAAAAAAAAAAAAAAAAAUUAUGUUUUUGUAAUAUGUUAACUGAUGAAAAUGACCAUGUUUAUAUGGCUAGAAAAUAUAGUGUUAGACAUGUUUUAGGAGUUGUACAAGAGAUUAAUGAAAAUAUACAUAUAAUUGUUAAUUUAAAAUACAACAGUUUUGAUGCAAUAGAUGAAGUUAGAAAACAAAUCAUUUCUAACAUAUUAAACACUGUUAGUAUUAAUAAUUAUAUUAUAUUAUUAACAAAGAUUAUAAAUUUAACAGUAUAUUGUCGUACAUUUCAAUGUUUAUAUGAUUUUAGAUUUACUCGUGCUUAUUGUGAAAUAAUGAAAAAAAAAACUCCUUCUUCUUUUAAUAAAAGUGAUGGUGGUAAUGGUGGUAAUGGUGGUAGUGGUAGUAGUGGUAGUAGUGGUGGUAGUGGUAGUAGUAGUAGUAGUGGUGCCGUUUUAAUGGAAAAUACAACUAAUAAAAAUAAAAAUGAAAAAUGCUUUGAAAAGGUGAAGGGAAUAUUAAAAGGGGAUGAGAUGCAAGAAUGUCAGUUAAAAAAACAGAUUAGUAACUAUUUAAAUAUUUUAAAUACAAAAAAAAGAGAAUUUAAAAAUAGGAAACCAAACAAAUGGUUGUGA